UGGGCAUGCACAUUAAGAGAUAAAAUGGCAAAGUAUGAUCUUCCAGGUACACUCCACCAGAAAAGAGAAGAAAGCCUGAGAUGGGCAUGCAUACAACUUCCUAAACACACUGCGCAUGCUCAGUUCCCAAGGGUAAGAAGAGCACUGUGCGUGCAAAAGGCCAACUCUAAGGGAAGAAUCAUGGAAAAGAGAGAUGGAAUCUCACUGUGUUGCCCAGGCUGGUCUCAAAUUCCUGACCUCGAGUUAUCCUCCCGUCUUGGCCUCCCACAGUGUUGAGUUUACAGAUGGAGUUUCGCUCUUGUUGACAAGGCUGGCAUGCAAUGGCACAAUCUCGGCUUACCACAACCUCCGCCUCACGGGUUCCAGCGAUUCCCUGCCUCAGCCUCCCAAGUAGCUGGGAUUACAG